rnacentral:sRNA from 1 species
GAUUUGUCUCUCCAGAAUGACUAUCCUCCAUUUCUAGGUCCCAAAUCACAACCAUGAAGUUGAUCUUAUGGUACUUUGUUGUGGCACUUUGGUGCUUCUGCAAAGAUGUGGAAGCCUUACUUUACCGACAAAAAUCAGAUGGUAAAAUAGCAGCAAGCAGAUCAGAUAGCACCAACACAAGAUAUGGUGCUGGCUUUAGUAGCAGUGGUGCCUCUCUGGAUGUGGGAUUUAGUUGGGGGACAUCUGAUGAAAAGGGAUUGGAAGUCGGUAGAGCUGAUGGGAGUGAAACUAGAGACAGUGGAUCUGCUGGGGGUGAAACCAUAGUCUUUGGACCUGAUGCGGGUAGCUCAGUUGGAACUGGUUCUUCUGGUUUGAAACUUGGAGCAGGGAAAGGUGAUGCUGCAUUUGGUUUUGAAGUUUCUGAUUCGAAUUCAUUUAGUGACAGUGGCAUUAGUAGCAAAACAGUUGAAGGAAAUCAAAUGAGUAGUUCUGGAGGGAUCUGUUUCCAUUGAUCUAGGUGAUACCAGUUUAAGAAGUGACAAUCAAUUUGUUGGUGGUGGCUCUCGAAAUUCGAUAUCCAAUUUAUGGGAUUCUGGUCAAGAGAGAUUUGGAAUCAAUGAAAUUGGAGGGAAUGGAAUGAGUGGCAGUGUAUCUGCUGAGGCUGGAUUCAAAGGUUUUGGAUCUGAUGCCAGUAGCUCAGGUGAUUCAAGUGCAAGAAAUGGGUUUGAAAAUUCUAGUCGUAUCUCUGAAAAUUCAGGAGUCAUAUUGGGGCCAUCUGAUCAACAUGAAGUUGAACUCAGUAGAACUGGUGGGAAUAGACAGAGAAGCAGUGAACCUGCUGAGGCUGGAAACUUGAGUCCUGGAUCUGAUGUCAGCGACUCAGGAGGAAACACUUGGUCUUCUGGUUCUGGAAGUGGUGGAGGAAGUGUCACAAGCUCGUCUGAAUACAGUACAUCUGGACCACUCAAUACUCCAGAAAAAGGAUCCCACAUUCCAGAAGCAACUCCAAAAUACUCAGAAACAAAUGCAAUUAUUGGUGAAGUGUCUACCUGGAGCAAAGGAGCAUAUAAAUCUUUCAACGGCCGCAUCUUUUUCUUCGAAUCUUCAUGCCCGUACAUUUUCUGCCGUCACUGUGUUGAAUCUGGAGGGGAUUUCAAUAUUGAGAUCAAACGAAACAAUGAUAGUGAGAUUGAAAAAAUAACCGUUCUAAUUGACAAUAACGACAUCUCUAUUUUUGGUGACACCAUUUUAGUUAAUGGAGAAAGAUACCAUAUAACAAUAAGUUGAUUCACAUAAAAAAAUAUGGAGAACAUAAUGUUCUGAAUAGCCGUAGAGGAAUCCUGACUUUAAUGUGGGACAAAAAUAACAAACUCUCACUCACUCUUCACAAGCAGUAUCCAACUUGUGGUCUUUGUGGUAACUUCAACAGCACUCCAGGGCAAGAUAUUAAUGAGCACAUUGCCAAUAGUAAAAUUCCUGGUGAUUGUCCCAAUGCUGUUGGAAAAAGCUAUGAAGUUUGUGAAGAUGGAAUACAGCACUGUAACAAAAUUAUUGGAACCUACUUUGAGAAAUGUGGAAAGGUUGCUGCUCUAUCCAAUGACUACAAAAUGAUCUGCAUUGAUGAAUACUGCCAAACUAGAGACAAAACAUCUACAUGUGACACUUAUUCAGAACUGUCCCGCCUCUGUGCCUCAGAUGGUCCUGGCACCUUUGAAUCCUGGCGAAGCGAUUCCGAUGUGGUUUGUGAAACACACAGAUGUCCAGAACAACAUAUCUACAAAGAAUGUGGACCCUCCAACCCUGCAACUUGUUCUAAUGUGGCUCCUUUUCAAGACAGUGAAUGUAUGAGCGGCUGCACCUGCCCAGAAGGUUAUCUGUUGGAUGAUAUUGGAGAGAAAGGAAAAUGUGUAUUAAAAGCUGAAUGUCCCUGUGAAUCCAGUGGAAAAGUGUACCAGCCAGGAGAAGUCCGAGAGGGUCCUUGUGGUUCUCAGUGCACAUGCCAAGAUGCAAAGUGGUCUUGCACUGAAGCAUUAUGCCCUGGAAGAUGUAAGGUGGAAGGAAGUUCCCUUACCACUUUUGAUGGUGUUAAGUACAACUUUCCUGGAAACUGCCACUUCCUGGCCAUUCACAAUGAAGAUUGGUCUAUUAGUGUUGAGCUCCGUCCAUGCCCAAGUGGUCAGACAGGAACGUGCUUAAAUAGCGUUACACUUCUCCUGAAUUCUUCUGUUCCAGUUGACAAAUACAUAUUCAACAGUGAUGGAACAGUCACAAAUGACAAGAUUAGAAAUCAAGGUUAUUACUAUUCAGAUAAAAUACAGAUAUUCAAUGCAUCUUCCUCAUACCUUCAAGUAGAAACAUACUUUCAUGUGAAACUACAAAUACAAAUUGUUCCUGUGAUGCAGUUAUAUGUUUCUAUGCCACCCAACCAAUUCACAGACACUGUGGGACUCUGUGGUUCCUACAACAACAAAGCAGAGGAUGAUUUCAUGUCAAGUCAGAAUAUAUUGGAGAAGACAUCUCAGGCAUUUGCUAACUCUUGGGAAAUGAUGUCUUGUCCUAAAGGAAACCCCUCUUCAUGUAUUAGUAUAGAAAAAGAAAAGUUUGCUGAAAGGCACUGUGGAAUUCUUCUUGAUUCAAGUGGGCCUUUUGCUUCCUGCCACCCAAUUGUGAACCCUAAACCCUACCAUGAGGAAUGCAAAAAAUAUACUUGCACUUGUGAAAACAGUCAGGACUGCCUAUGUACAAUUUUAGGCAACUAUGUGAAAGCAUGUGCUGAGAAGGAAACAUACAUAGUGGGAUGGAGAACUGGCAUAUGUGAACAUUCUUGUCCAAGUGGCCUAGUUUUCAAGUACAAUGUAAAAGCCUGUAAUAGUUCUUGCCGAUCCUUGUCAGAAAGAGAUAGGAGCUGUGAUGUAGAAGAUGUUCCAGUUGAUGGAUGCACCUGCCCUGAUGAAAUGUACCAGAAUAAUGAAGGAAACUGUGUACUGAAAUCUCAGUGUGACUGUUACAUAAAUGAUGAGGUCAUGCAACCAGGCAAACUCAUCCAUAUUGAUGACAAUAAAUGUGUCUGUCGAGAUGGAAUUCUUCUUUGCCAGAUUCCCAUUGAUUUAACCCUACAAAAUUGUUCUGGAGGGGCUGAGUAUGUAGACUGCAGUGAUCCCAAGGCACAGAGAAGAACCGACAGAACAUGCGGUACUCGGAACAUACCUGUUUUUGAUGAGAACUUGCCUUGCAAACGUGGGUGCUUUUGUCCAGAAGGAAUGGUUCAAAAUUCUAAAGGGAUAUGUGUCUUUCCUGAUGACUGUCCAUGCUCUUUUGGUGGACGAGAAUAUGAUGAAGGAAGUGUCACUUCUGUUGGCUGCAAUGAAUGUACCUGCAUUAAAGGGUCUUGGAGUUGUACCCAAAAUGAAUGUCAAACCAUCUGCCACAUCUAUGGGGAAGGUCAUGUUAGAACUUUUGAUGGGAAGAGUUACAGUUUUGACGGUCUCUGCCAGUAUUCAUUUCUUGAGGAUUAUUGUGGUCAUGAAAAUGGCACAUUUCGUAUUUUAACGGAGAGUGUUCCAUGCUGUGAAGAUGGGCUAACGUGCUCAAGAAAAAUCAUAGUUUCUUUUCAGGAUCAGAAUGUUGUCUUGCAAGACGGUAAAGUAACAGCAGUCAAAUCUACAGAAAGUAAGAAAUGUGAACUCAAUGCAAAUGCAUACUCCAUACAUACUGUUGGCCUGUACUUAAUUCUGAAAUUUCAAAAUGGAAUAAUCGUGAUUUGGGACAAAAGUACAAGACUGUCUGUUAUUCUGGAUCCAAACUGGAAUGGCAAAGUGUGUGGUCUUUGUGGAAAUAACAAUGGUGAUCUCAAGGAUGAUUUCACAACAAGAUACUCUUCAGCAGCUUCUGGAGCACUGGAAUUUGGGAAUAGUUGGAAAACAAGCCAAGAAUGUUCAGAUACAGUGGCUCAGACUUUCCCAUGUGAUUCAAACCCAUACUGUAAAGCCUGGGCUGUGCGGAAAUGUGAGAUCCUCAGAGACAGCACCUUCAGAGACUGCCACAACAAGGUAGCAUUGUUCUGAAAGCAGUGACUUACACAGGGUUUCCUCCCAGAGACUCAUGUGCUAUGCUCUGCCUAGGUUGACCCCAGUGCUUAUUACGAUGCGUGCAUUGAAGAAGCCUGUGCGUGUGACAUGGAGGGGAAGUACCUGGGAUUCUGCACUGCUGUGGCUAUGUACGCAGAGGCGUGUAGUGCAGUUGGAGUCUGUGUCUCAUGGAGAAAACCAAAUCUGUGUCCUGUCUACUGUGAUUACUACAACGCGCCUGGGGAAUGCAGAUGGCAUUAUGAACCUUGUGGCACAGUGACUGCAAAAACAUGCAAAGAUCAGCUCAUUGGCCAGAAAUUUUCUUCACUUUUAGAAGGUUGUUAUGCUAAGUGCCCAGAGAGUGCUCCUUACCUGGAUGAGAACACCAUGAAAUGUGUCAGUUUAUCUGAGUGCAGCUGUUUCUAUAAUGAUGUCAUACCAGCAGGGGGAGUGAUUGAAGAUAAUUGUGGAAAAACAUGCUACUGUAUUGCAGGGCAGUUGGAGUGCAGUGAAACUGCUCCUACCAAUUCAACAUUUGCAGUUUCCACUACAACAGCUACCGCCAUAUUAAGCACGGGAGCAGCAAUUACACUGGUUACCAGUAGCCCAGGCACAGCAGCAUCCAUUCCAGCGAUUACAACAUCAAGCAGUGAAACAACAGGAACAACUCUAGGUCCUCUCAUCGAACCUUUUACUACAGGCAUUACUGAAACUUCAGUUCCCAUCAUCUCAACAUCUGGAAAUGCAGGCACGACAGGAGUAGUGAGCCCCACCAUCACUGGUGCUGCAGGCAUGGCAGGAACAACUGGAGGAGUGGAUGCAGCCACCACUGGAGCUGCUGGUGAAAAUACAUCUGAGAGAGCAGGCACACCAGGGGUAUCUGGAGUAACCCCUGCAGUCAGAGGUGGCAGUACCCCUGGAGAAGCAGGCCCUGGAGCCACAGUUUCUGGAAGUACAGGAGUUUCUGCAGGCUCCACCACUGCCAGCCCUGGAACCUCAGCCACAACCUCUGAAAGCAGCAAAUCAGGAACUACUGGACCCUCAGUGGGUGGAAAAACUGGAGCCACAAGCAGUGAAGUGACAUCAUCUGAAGGCAUGUCAGGUGUAACAGGACAGUCUCUUGGAUCUACUCCUGGAUCUGACAGUGAAAUCACAGCUAAAACAUCUUUCACUGGUUCCGGUCCACCUGGGAAACUCACGAGGCCAAGCCCGGGCUCACCUGAUCACUUUAGUGGUGGAACAACUGAAGGGGGAAAUGUAGCCAUCACUGGAGCUGCUGGUGAAAACACUUCUGGAGCAUCGGGUUCAACAGAAGGGUCUGUGGAAGCCACCACCAGCGCAGGCAGUGGAAACACAGCUGGAACAUCAGGUACUGGGGCCACUGGCCCUGGAAACACAGCAGUCUCAGGUACACCUGUGGUAUCACCUGGAGCAACUCCUGGAGCUCCAGGUAGCAGCACCCCUGGGGAAGCAGGCAUUGGAACCACCAGUUUUGGAAAAUCAGGGACCCCGACAGUAUCUGCUGCCUCAACUACCAGUAGCCCUGUGAGUAAACACACCGAUGCAGCCUCAGCCACAGCAGUGACAAUCUCUGGAAGCAAACCAGGUACACCUGGAACACCAGGUGGUGCAACUAGUGGAGGCAAAAUUACAUCUGGAUGGUCCAGCAGUGGUGCCAGCACAGGCUCUUCAAAUACACCAGGGGCAACUGGAUCAUCAACUGGAGACACAGAGACAAGUGGACCAUCAGCUAAAGUAACAGGGAAUUAUGGACAAUUAUCUGAAAUAUCAGGAACAACUAAAUUGUCAUCUGAUGUUUCAAGGACAAUGGGGCAAUCAGAUACAACAUCUGGACCAUCAGUUGCAGUGACAAGGACUUCUGAACAAUCGUCAGGAGUCACAGGGGCAUCUGAACCAUCAGUUGGAGUAUCAGGGACAACUGGACCAUUAGCUGAAAUAUCAGGGACAACCAGACCAUUAGUUUCAGGAUUAAGGACAACUGGAUCAUUAGCUGAAGGAUCAGGGACAACUGGACCUUCAUCAAGAGAAUCAGUGACAACUAGACCAUUAGCUGAAGGUUCAGGAACAAGUCGACAAUCGGUUACAGGAUCAAGAACAACUGGAUUAUCAGCUACAGAAUUAGGGACAACUGUGUCUUUUACUGGAGGAUUAGGUACAAGUAGAUCAUCUGCUAGAGAAACAUGGACAACUGGACCAUCAGCUGAUGGGUCAGGAACAACAGGACCAUCUGUUGUGAGAUCAGGGACAACUAGAUUAUCAGUUGGAGUGACAAGAGCAACUGAAUCAUCACCUGGAGUGACAGGAACAACUACACCAUCAGCUGAAGAAUCCAGAACAACUGGACCAUCUGUUCUAGUGGCAGAAACAACUGGACAAUCAGGCCAAGGAUCAGGGACAACUGGAAAAUCUUUUAUAGAAUCAGGACCAUCUGUUGUAGGAUCAGGGACAACUGGACCAACAUCUGCAGGAUUAGGAACAUCUGCACCAUCAACCAGAAGAUCAGGCACAACAAGACCAUCAGUUGGAAGAACUGGGACAACUGGACAAUCAGGUGCAGAAUCAGGAACAACUGAACCAUCAGUUAGAGUGACAGAUGUAACUGGAACAUCAGCUGAAGUAUCAGGAAGAAUUGAACCAUCAGCUACAGGAUCAGGUACAAGUAGACCACUAGGUGAAACAACAGGGACAACUAUAUCAUCAACGGAAGGAUCAGAGGCAACUGGACCAUCUGUCAUUGGAUCAGAAACAACUAGACUAUCAGUUAUAGGAUCAGGGACAACUGGAACUUCAUCUGGAGGUUCAGGUGCAACAAGAUCAUCAGGUGGAGGAAUGGGGACAACUGGACAAUCAACUGCAAGAUCAGAAACAACUGGACCACUUUUUGGAUUGACGGGAACAUUUGGUCAAUCUGCUACAGUGACUGGGACAUCUUCAAAUUCAGCUGGAGUAACAACAUCUGAAAAAUCACCUGGAGUGGCAAUGACAACAGGACUAUUGGUUGAAGGAUCAGCUACAACUCAACCACCUAUUUUAGAAUCAGAAACAACUGAAUCAUCAGCUGGAGUGACAGUGGCAUCUGGACAAUCAGCCAGAGUGACUUGGGCAACUGGACCAUCAGCUGGAGAGACAGGAACAACUGGACCAUCAACUGAAGGAUCAGUUGCAACUGUACCAUUUGUUAUUGGAUCAGAAACAACUAGACCAUUAGAUAUAGGAUCAGGGACAACUGGAAAUUUAUCUGGAGGUUCAAGUACAACAAGAUCAUCAGAUGAAACAACAGGGACAACCAGAAAAUCAACUGCAAGAUCAGAAACAACUGGACCACUUUCUGGAUUGACAGGAACAUCCGGGCAAUUGGCUGGAGUGACUGGGACAUCUUCAAAAUCAGCUGGAAUAACAGUGACAUCUGAAAAAUCAGCUGGAGUUGCAGUGACAACAGGAUCAUUUGUUGAAAGAUCAGUCACAACUGGACCAUCUCUUUUGGAAUCAGAGACAACUCGACCAUCAGGUGGAGUAACAGUGACAUCUGGACAAUCAGCCAGAGUGACUGAAACAGUUGGAGCAUCAGCUGGAGUGAUAGGAACAACUGGACCAUCAACUGAAGGAUCAGGGGCAACUGGACCGUCUGUUGUGGGAUCAGGAACAACUAGACCAUUAGCUGGUGAAUCAGGUACAACUGAGUCAUCAGCUGGAGUGACAGGGACAAGGCCAUCAUCAUCAAGAGAAUCAGCAACAACUGGACCAUCAGAUGAAGGAUCAGGAACAACUGGACUAUCAGCUGGAGUGACAGUGACAUCUGGACAAUCAGUUAGAAAGACUGGGACAACUGGAGCACCAGCUGGAGUUACAGAAAUAACGAGACCAUCUGUUGUCAAAUCAGGGACAACUGGACCAUCUGUUACAGGAACAAGGACAACUGGAACUUCAUCUGGAGGAUCAGGUGCAACAAGAUCAUCAGGUGGAGAAACAGAGAAAACUGGCCAAUCAACUGUAAAAUCAGGGACGACAGAAUCAUUUACUGGGUCGAUAAGAACAUCUGGGCAAUCAGCUGGAAUGACUGGGACAUCUGCACAGUCAGGUGGAGUGGCACUAACAACAGGUCCUUUUGUUGAAGGAUUAGUGACAACUGGAUCAUCUACUGUAGGAUUAGAGACAACUAGACCUUCAGCUGUAGGAUCAGGAACAAUUGGACCUCCAGUUGUAAAAGCACAGACAACUGGACCAUCAGCUGGAGUAACAGUGACAUCUGGACAAUCAGCUAGGAUGACUGGGGCAACUGGACCAUCAGUAGGAGUGACAGGAACAACUGGACCAGCAAGUAAAGGAUUAGGGACAAUUAGACCAUCUGUUGUAGGAUUAGAGACUACUGAACCAUCAGCUGAAGGAUCAGGGACAACUGGACCACCUAUUGUAGGAGAGACAACUGUACCAUCAGCUGGAGUGACAGUUACAUCUGGAUACUCAGAUAGAGUGACUGAGGCAACUGAACCAUUGGUUGGAGUAACAGGAACCACUAAACCAUCUGUGGUAGGAUCAGUGACAACUGGACCAUCUGUUACAGGAGUAGAGACAACUGCAAAAACUUCAUCUGGAGGAUUAAGUACAACUAUAUCAUCAGUUGGAGGAACAGGGACCACUGGACAAUCACCUGAAAGAUCAGGGACAACAGGACCAUUUACUGGAUUGACAGGGACAUCUGUACAAUCAGCUGGAGUGGUAGUAACAACAGGACUAAAUGUUGAUGGCUUAGGGACAACUGGAAAAGCUCUUGUAGGAUCAGGAACAACUGGAUUAUCAGCUGAAGCUACAGGGACAAUUCGACCAUCAACUGAAGGAUUAGAGAAAACUGGACCAUCUAUUACUGGAUCAGGAACAACCAGAUCAUUAGUUACAGAAUCAUGGACAGCUGGAACUUCAUCUGGAGGACAGAGUACAACAAGUCCAUCAGUUAGAGGAACAAAGACAACUGGACAAUCAGCUGAAGGAUCAGUGACAACAGGGCCAGUUACAGGAUACACAGAAACCUCUGGUCCAUCUGCUGGAGUGACAGUGAUACCUAGACAAUCACCUACAGUGACUCAGACAACUGGAUCAUCAGCUGCAAUAUCAGGGACAACUGUACAAUCUCUUACAGUAUCAGGGACCACUAGACCAUCAUCUGGACAAACAGAAAUAACUGGAUCAUCAGUUGAAGAAUCAGGGACAACUGAAUCAUCAGCUGUAAGGUCAGGGACUACUGGACCAACAGCUGGAGUGACAGGUACAAAUGGACCAUCAUCAGCUGGAGUGACAGGGAUAACUGGAUCAUCACCUAUAGUGACAGGGACAACUGGAUCAUCUGCAAGAUCAGGGACAAGUAUACCAUCAGUUGGAAAAACAGGAACAACUAGAAAAUCAGUUGAAGAAUCAAGGACAACUGGACCAUCAGUUGGAAUAACAGGUACAAAUGGACUAUCAGCUGAAGUGACAGGGACAACUGGACCAUCAGCUGGAGUGACAGGGAAAACUGGACCAUCAGCUGGAGUGACAGGGACAACUGGACUAUCAGCUGGAGUGACAGGGACAACUGAACUGUCAGCUGGGGUGACAGGGACAGCUGGACUGUCAGCUGGAGAGACAGGGACAACUGGACUAUCACCUGGAGUGACAGGGACAACAAGAUCAUCAGCCGGGGUAACAGGGAAAACAGGGCUAUCAGCUGGGGUGACAGGGACAACUGGACUGUCAGCUGAAGUGACAGGGACAACUAGACUAUCAGCUGCAGUGACAGGGACAACUGGACCAUCACCUGGAGUAACAGGUACAACUGGACCACCAGCUGGGGUGACAGGGACAACUGAACUAUCAGCUGGGGUGAUAGGGAAAACUAGAUCAUCAGCUGGAGUGACAGGGACAACAGGACUAUCAUCUGAAGUGACAAAAACAACCAGAUUAUCAUAUGGGGUGACAGGGACAACUGGACUAUCAGCUGGAGUGACAGGGACAACUGGACAAUCAGCUGGAGUGACAGGGACAACAAGACUAUCAGCUGGAGUGACAGGGACAAUGGGACUAUCAGCUGGAGUGACAGGGACAACUGGACCAUCAGCUGGGGUGACAGGGACAACUGGACUAUCAGCUGAAGUGACAGGGAUAACUGGACUAUCAGCUGUGGUGACAGGGAGAACUGGACCAUCAGCUGGAGUAACAGAGACAACUAGAUCAUCAACUGGGGUGACAGGGAUAACUGGGCUAUCAGCUGGAGUGACAGGGACAACUGGACUGUCAACUGAAGUGACAGGGACAACUGGACCAUCACCUGGGGCGACAGGGACAACUGGACUAUCAGCUGGAGUGACUGGGAUAACUGGGCUAUCAGCUGCAGUGACAGAGACAACUGGAUCAUCUGCAAGAUCAGGGACAAGUAUACCAUCAGUUGGAGAAACAAGAACAACUAGAACAUCAGUUGAAGAAUCAAGGACAACUAGACCAUCAGCUGGAAUAACAGGUAGAAACGGACUACCAGCUGAAGUGACAGGGACAACUGGACCAUUAGCUGGAGUGACAGGGACAACUGGACUAUUAGCUGGGGUGACAGGGACAACUGGACUAUCAGCUGGGGUGACAGAGAAAACUGGAUCAUCAGCAAGAGUGACAGGAACAACUGGACAAUCAGCAGAAGUAACAGGGAAAACUGGACUAUCAGCUGGAGUGACGGGACAACUGAAUCAGCUGGAGUGACAGGGACAAGUGAACUAUCAGCUGAAGUGACAGGGACAACUGGCCUGUCGGCUGAAGUGACAGGGCUACCUGGAGUAUCAGCUGGGGUGACAGGGACAAUUGGAUCACCAGCUGGAGUAACAGGGACAACUCGACUAUCAGCUGUGGUGACAGGGUUAACUGGACUAUCAGCUGAUGUGACAGGGACAACUGGCCUAUCAGCUGGGGUGACAGGGAUAGCUGGACUAUCAGCUGGAGUGACAGGGACAACUACAGUAUCAGCUGGAGUAACAGGGACAGCUGGACUAUCAGCUGAAGCAACAGGGAAAACUGGACUAUCAGCUGGGGUGACAGGGACAACUGGACUAUCUGCUGGGGUGACAGAGACAAUUGGACUAUCAGCUGGGGUGACAGGGACAAUUGGAUCAUCAGCUGGGGUGACAGGGACAACUGGACUAUCAGCUGGGGUGACAGGGACAGCUGGACUCACAGCUGGGGUGACAGGGAUAACUGAACCAUCAGCUGGAGUGACAGGGACCACUACAGUAUCAGCUGGAGUAACAGGGACAACUGGACUAUCAGCUGAAGCAACAGGGAUAACUGGACUAUUGGCUGGGGUGACAGGGACAACUGGACUAUCUGCUGGGGUGAAAGAGACAAUUGGACUAUCAGCUGGGGUGACAGGGACUAUUGGAUCAUCAGCUGGAGUGGCAGGGACAACAAGAGUAUCAGCUGGGGUGACAGGGACAAUUGGAUCAUCAGCUGGGGUAACAGGGAUAACUGGACUAUUAGCUGGGGUGACAGAGACAACUGGACAGUCAGCUGAAGUGACAGGGACAACUGGACAAUCUAUUGGAGUGACAGGGACAACUAGAUCAUCAGGUGGAGUGACAGGGAUAACUGGACUAUCAGCUGGAGUGACAGGGACAAAUGGACUAUCAGCUGUGGUGACAGGGAUGACUGGACUAUCAGCUGAGGUGACAGGGACAACUGGACUAUCAGCUGGGGUGACAGGAAUAGCUGGACUCUCAGCUGGGGUGACAGGGAUAACUGGACCAUCAGCUGGAGUGACAGGGACAACUACAGUAUCAGCUGGAGUAACAGGGACAACUGGACUAUCAGCUGAAGCAACAGGGAUAACAGGACUAUCGACUGGGGUGACAGGGACAACUGGACUAUCUGCUGGGGUGACAGAGACAAUUGGACUAUCAGCUGAAGCGACAGGGACAACCAGACCAUCAGCUGGGGUGACAGGGACAACUGGAUCAUCAACUGGGAUGACAGGGAUAACUGGAUUAUCAGCUGGAGUGACAGGGACAAGGAGACUGUCAACUGAAGUGACAGGAACAACUGGACCAUCAGCUGGGGUGACAGGGACUAUUGGAUUAUCAGCUGGAGUGACUGGGAUAACUGGGCUAUCAGCUGUAGUGACAGAGACAACUGGAUCAUCUGCAAGAUCAGGGACAAGUAUCCCAUCAGUUGGAGAAACAGGAACAACUAGAACAUCAGUUGAAGAAUCAAGGACAACUAGACCAUCAGCUGGAAUAACAGGUACAAAUGGACUAUCAGCUGAAGUGACAGGGACAACUGGACCAUCAGCUGGAGUGACAGGGACAACUGGACUAUCAGCUGGAGUGACAGGGACAACUGGACUAUCAGCUGGGGUGACAGGGACUAUUGGAUCAUCAGCUGUGGUGACAGGGAUAAAUGGACUAUCAGCUGGAGUGACAGGGACAACUGGACCAUCAGCUGAAGAGACAGGGGCAAUUGGAACAUCAGCAGAAGUGACAGGGAUAACUGGACCAUCAACUGGGGUGACAGGGACAACUAGACUAUCAGCUGAAGUGACAGGGACAACUGGCCCAUCAGCUGUGGUGACAGGGAUAACUGGACUAUCAGUUGAGGUGACAGGGACAACUGGACUAUCAGCUGGGGUGACAGGAAUAGCUGGACUCUCAGCUGGGGUGACAGGGACAAUUGGACUAUCAGCUGGGGUGACAGGGACAACUGGAUCAUCAGCUGAAGUGAGAGGGACAACUGGACUAUCAGCUGAAGUGACAGGGACAACUGAACCAUCAGCUGGGGUGACAGGGACAACUGGAUCAUCAACUGAGGUGACAGGGAAAACUGGACUGUCAACUGAAGUGACAGGGACAACUGGACCAUCAGCUGGGGUGACAGGGACAGGACAACUGGACCAUCAGCUGGAGUGACAGGGACAACUGGACUAUUAGCUGGGGUGACAGGGACUAUUGGAUCAUCAGCUGUGGUGACAGGGAUAAAUGGACUAUCAGCAGGAGUGACAGGGACAACUGGACCAUCAGCUGAAGAGACAGGGACAACUGGACGAUCAGCUGAAGUGACAGGGAUAACUGGACCAUCAGCUGGAGUGACAGGGACAAGUGGACAAUCAGCUGAAGUGACAGUGACAACUGGCCCAUCAGCUGAAGUGUCAGGGCUACCUGGAGUGUCAGCUGUGGUGACAGGGAUAACUGGACUAUCAGCUGAGGUGACAGAGACAAUUGGACUAUCAGCUGGGGUGACAGGGACAAUUGGAUCAUCAGCUGGGGUGACAGGUACAAAUGGACUAUCAGCUGAAGUGACAGGGACAACUGGACCAUCAGCUGGGGUGACAGGGACAACUGGACUAUCAGCUGAAGUGACAGGGAUAACUGGACUAUCAGCUGUGGUGACAAGGACAACUGGACCAUCAGCUGGGGUGACAGAGACAACUGGAUUAUCAACUGGGGUGACAAAGAUAACUGGACUGUCAGCUGGAGUGACAGGAACAACUGGACUGUCAACUGAAGUGACAGGCACAACUGGACUACCAGCUGGAGGGACUGGGAUAACUGGGCUGUCAGCUGCAGUGACAGAGACAACUGGAUCAUCUGCAAGAUCAGGGGCAAGUAUACCAUCAGUUGGAGAAACAGGAACAACUAGAACAUCAGUUGAAGAAUCAAGGACAACUAGAGCAUCAGCUGGAAUAACAGGUACAAAUGGACUAUCAGCUGAAGUGACAGGGACAACUGGACCAAUAGCUGGAGUGACAGGGACAACUGGACUAUCAGCUGGAGUGACAGGGACAACUGGACCAUCAGCUGGAAUAACAGGUACAAAUGGACUAUCAACUGAAGUGACAGGGACAACUGGACCAUUAGCUGGAGUGACAGGGACAACUGGACUAUCAGCUGGGGUGACAGGGACAACUGGACUAUCAGUUAGGGUGACAGAGAGUACUGGACUAUCAGCUGGGGUGACAGGGACAAUUGGAUCAUCAGCUGGAAUAACAGGUACAAAUGGACUAUCAUCUGAAGUGACAGGGACAAGUGGACCAUUAGCUGGAGUGACAAGGACAACUGGACUAUCAGCUGGGGUGACAGGGACAACCGGACUAUCAGCUAGGGUGACAGAAAGUACUGGACUAUCAGCUGGGGUGACAGGGACAAUUGAAUCAUCAGCUGGAAUAACAGGUACAAAUGGACUAUCAGCUGAAGUGACAGGGAAAACUGGACCAUUAGCUGGAGUGACAGGGACAACUGGACUAUCAGCCAGGGUGACAAGGACAACUGGACUAUCAGCUACGGUGACAGAGAGUACUGGACUAUCAGCUGAGGCGACAGGGACAAUUGGAUCAUCAGCUGUGGUGACAGAGACAACUAGACUAUCAGCUGGAGUCACAGGGACAAUUGGACGAUCAGCUGAAGGGACAGGGGCAACUGGACUAUCAGCAGAAGUGACAGGGACAACUGAACUAUCAGCUGACGUGACAGAGAAAACUGGACCAUCAGCAGAAGUGACAGGGAAAACUGGGCUAUCAGCUGGAGUGAUGGAGACAACUGGACCAUCAGCUGAAGUGACAGGGACAACUGGAUCAUCAGCUGGGGUGACAUGGACAACUGGACCAUUAGCUGGAGUGACAGGGACAAGUAGACUAUCAGCUGGGGUGACAGGGACAACUGGCCCAUCAGCUGAAGCGACAGGGCUACCUGGAGUAUCAGCUGGGGUGACAGGGACAAUUGGAUCAGCAGCUGGAGUGACAGGGACAACUCAGCUAUCAGCUGUGGUGACUGGGAUAACUGGACUAUCAGCUGACGUGACAGGGACAACUGGACUAUCAGCUGUGGUGACAGGGAUAGCUGGACACUCAGCUGGGGUGACAGGGAUAGCUGGACACUCAGCUCUGGUGACAGGGAUAACUAGACCAUCAGCUGGAGUGACAGGGACAACUACAGUAUCAGCUGGAGUAACAGGGACAACUGGACUAUCAGCUGAAGCAACAGGGAAAACUAUAUCAUCAGUUGGGGUGACAGGGACAACUGGACUAUCUGCUGUGGUGACAGAGACAAUUGGACUAUCAGCUGGGGUGACAGGGACAAUUGGAUCAGCUGGGGUGACAGAGAUAACUGGUCUAUCAGCUGGAGUGACAGGGACAAUUGGACCAUCAGCUGGUGUGACAGGGUCAACUGUACUAUCAGCUGGGGUGACAGUGACGACUGGACAAUCUGUUGGAGUGACAGGGACAACUGGAUCAUCAACUGGAGUUACAGGGAGAACUGGCCUAUCAGCUGGGGUGACAGGGAUAACUGGACUCUCAGCUGAGGUGACAGGGAUAACUGGACCAUCAGCUGGAGUGACAGGGACAACUACAGUAUCAGCUGGAGUGAGAGGGACAACUGGACUAUCAGCUGAAGCAACAGGGAAAAUUGGACUAUCAGCUGGGGUGACAGGGACAACUGGACUAUCUGCUGUGGUGACAGAGACAAUUGGACUAUCAGCUGGGGUGUCAGGGACUAUUGGAUCAUCAGCUGGAGUGGCAGGGACAACAAGAGUAUCAGCUGGGAUGACAGGGACAACUGGACCGUCAGCUGCUGUGACUGGGUCAGCUGGACUAUCAGCUGGGAUGACAGGGACAACUGGACAGUCAGCUGAAGUGACAGGGGCAACUGGAGAAUCUGUUGGAGUGACAGGGACAACUAGAUCAUCAGGUGGAGUGACAGGGAUAACUGGACUAUCAGCUGGAGUGAGAGGGACAACUGUUUCAUCUGCAAGAUUAGGGACAAGUAUACCAUUAACUGGAAAAACAGGAAAAACUAGAACAUCAGUUAAAGAAUCAACGACAACUGGACAAUCAGCUGGAAUAACAGGUACAAAUGGACUAUCAGCUGAAACGACAGGGACAAAUGAACUAUCAGCUGGGGUGACAGGGACAACUGGAUCAUCAGCCGGAGUGACAGGGACAACUGGACUGUCAGUUGAAGCAACAUGGACAACUGGACUAUCAGCUGGAGUGACAGGGACAACUGUCCCAUUAGCUGGGGUAACAGGGACAACUGGACCAUCAGCUGGAGUGACAGGAAUGACUGCACUAUCAGCUGGAGUGACAGGGAAAAGUAGACUGUCAGCUGGAAUGACAGGGAAAAUAGGACCGUCAGCUGAAGCAACAGAGAAAACUGGACUAUCGGCUGGAGUGACAGGGAUCACUGGACCAUUUGCUGAAGUGACAGAGACAACUGGAUUAUCAGCUGGGGUGAGAGGGACCACUGGACCAUCAGCUGAAGUGACAGGGACAACUGGACUAUCAGCUGGGGUGACAGGGACCACUGGACCAUCAGCUGAAGUGACAGGGACAACUGGACUAUCAGGUGGGGUGACAGGGAAAACUAGAUCAUCAGCCGGGGUAACAGGGACAACUGGAUUAUCUGCAAAAUCUGGGACAAGUAUACCAUCAGUUGGAAAAACAGGAACAACCAAAACAUCAGUUGAAGAGUCAAGGACAACUAGACCAUCAGCUGGAAUAACAGCUACAACUGGAGUGCCUGCUGCAACUUCCCCAGGAGCUGAAGGUGAAAGCAUAGCUUCCACGUCAGUUGCCACAGGAGCCAUCCCUGGGUCAACAAUUGCACCAGGAAGUACCACUACUGGUACCACUGGGGCAACCACUGGCACAACUCUUGCCUCUAGAAGUUUCAACAUAGGAAUUUCUGGUGGAAUUUCUGGGAAAACCCUCAAACCUGGAAGUUAUGUCUCAGAGGCUACAACUGCUACAGGGACUCCUGGAGCAGGAGGCACCACUAUCAUUUCUCCUGAAGUCAGUACCAGUUCAGAAGUUUCCAACACAGGUAUCACUGGAGUAGGCUCUGAGACAUCUGUUGAAACAGGAAUUUCCAACACAGCUACGACUGGGGUGGCUCCUGGCACAACCCUUGCCCCUGGCAGUUCCAGUACAGAGGCCACAACUUCCAUAGGAGGAAGUGCAUCAACAAGAGGAGGAAUAGCCACAGAAGCCACAGGUUCCACAAAAGGGGUCAGGACCACUGGAUCGGAAGCUCCAGAACGUACUUCUGGAGAAUUCUCUGGGACAACCAUUUCAUCUGGAGGCUUCCGCACAGAAGCCACAACUCUCACAGGAGGUAGGGGAAGUAUUGGAACUGAAUCCAGAGCAGAGUCCACAACUUCCCUACAAGAAAGUGCAAAAACAAGAGGUGGAAUAGUGACAGAGGCCACAAGUUCCACAGGAGGGAUCAGGGCCACCGGAUCAGAAGCUCCAGGAGCUACCACUGGGGCUUUCUCUGGAAAGACUCUGGAACCUGAGAAUGACAACACAGGCAAGCCACAAGUUCCACCAGAGGGGUCAGGACCACCAGGUCAGAAGCUCCAGGAGGUACCUCUGGUGAAUUCCCAGGGAAAAUAUUUACAUCUGGAGGUUCCCACACAGCCACCACUAGGGCAGCUCCUGGCACAACUCUUGCCCCUGGCAGUUCCAACACAGGGGCCACAGCUUCCCUAGGUGGAGGUGCAACGACAAGAGGUAGAAUAACCACCGCUACCACUGGGGCUUUCUCUAGAAAGACUCUGGAACCUGGGAACGACAACACAGAGGCCACAAGUUCCACCAGAGGGGUCAGGAUCACCAGAUCAGAAGCUCCAGGAGAGGCCACAACUCUCACAGGAGACAGGAGCAGUACCGGAAGUGAAUCCAGAACAGCCACCACUGGAGUAGCUCCUGGCACAACUGUUGCCCCUGGCAGUUCCAAGACAGCGGCCACCACUUUCCUAGGAGUAAGUGGAACAACAAGCACUGGAAGAGCCAUGGGUGCCACAACUUCCAUAGUAGGGAGUGACACCAGCCAAGCAGAACAUCCAGGAGGUACAACUGUGGUUUCACCUGGAGUCAGCAGCAGUUCACAGAGCUCCAGGCCAGGCACCUCUGUCACACCAGAGAGUUCAGCAUCUGAAAGUGAAACAGUUACUACAAAAGAAUUCUCUGGGACAACUGCUAUAUCUAGAACUUCCCACACCGGCCCCCCUGCAGCCUCAGGAGGCCAAGCAACUGGGAGCCUGACAGCCACCACUGGAGUAGCUCCUGGCACAAUUGUUGCCCCUGGCAGUUCCAACACAGAGGCCACAACUUCUGUAGGAGAAAGAGAAACAACAAAAGCUGAAAUAAUCACAGGUACCACUGGAGAAUUAUCUGGAACAACCAUUAUAUCUGAAAGUUCCACCACAGCAAGCAUCACUGCAGCAACAGGGAAGCAAGCAGGCACCUCAGAGGUAGCUCCUUCCACAACAGUUGCCCCUGGAAGUUUCAGCACAGCAGUGACAGCUUCUCCUGGAGCAACUGGAAUUACUGGGGUUACAACAACUACAAAGACCACAACUUCCCUAGGAGGAAGUGGCACCACUGGAGCAGAAAUAAAAUCAGCCACCACUGGAGCACCAGGAAGUAGGACAGGCACAGCUGGAGUGCCCUCUGCUACAACAGUCUCCCCUGGGAGCUCCAACUCAGAGGCCACAACUUCUGUAGGAGAAAGUGGAAAAACAGGAGCUGAAAGAAUCACAGAGGCCACCACUUCCACAGAAAGGACUGGUAGUUCUGGAACUGGAUUCAAAACUGGCACCUCAGAGGUAGCUCCUGCCACAACAGUUGCCCCAGGAAGUUUUAGCACAGCAGCCACAACUUCUCCUGGAGCAAGUGGAAUGACUGGGGUUACAACAACUACAAAGACCACAACUUCCCUAGGUGGAAGUGGCACCACUGGAGCAGAAAUAAAAUUAGUAGGAACCACCACUACAGCACCAGAAAGUAGGACAGCCGGAGUGCCCUCUGGUACAAGAGUCACCCCUGGGAGCUCCAACUCAGAGGCCACAACUUCUGUAGCAGAAAGCGGAAUAACAAGAGCUGAAGUAAUCACAGAGGCCACAACUUUCUCAGGAGGCAGCGGGGCCACCCGAGCAGGAUUACCCGGAGGUACCACUGGAGAAUUUUCUGGAACGACCAUUAUAUCUAGAAGUUCUAACACAGAGGCCACCACUUCCACAGAAGCAGGUAUUUCUGGAACUGGAUUCAAAAUUGCAGGCAUCACUUCUGCCCCAGGGAAACAAGCAGGCACCUCUGUGGUAUCUCUUGCCACAACAGUUGCCCCUGGAAGUUUCAGCACAGCCACAACUUCUUCUGGAGCAAGUGGAAUAACUGGGGCUGGCCCCACCUCAGAGACCACAACUUCCCUAGGAGGAAGUGGUACCACUGGAGCAGAAAUAAAAUCAGCUGUAGUGCCCUCUGGUACAACAGUUGCCCCUAGGAGCUCCAACUCAGAAGCCACAACUUCUAUAGGAGAAAAUGGAAAAACAAGAGGUGAAAUAAUCACAGGUACUACUGAGGCCACCUCUGGCAAAGUUCUGGAACCUGGAAGUGCCCACACAGAGGCCACAAUUUUCCCAGGAGGCAGUGGGACUACCCGAGCAGGACUGCCAGGAGGUACCACUGGAGAAUUGUCUAGAAUGACCAUUAUACCUGGAAGUUCUAACACAGAGGCCACAACUUCCACAAAAGGGACUGGUACUUCUGGAACUGGCUUCAAAACUGGCACCUCUGGGGUGGCAUCUGGCACAACAGUUUCCCCUGGAAGUUUCAGCACAGCCACAAUUUCUCCUGGAGCAAGUAGAACGACUGGGGCUGGACCCACUACAGAAACUACAACUUCCCUAGGAGGAGGUGGCACCAUUGGAGCAGAAAUAAAAUCAGGAGCCACCUCCGGAGCACCAGGAAGUAAGACAGGCACAGCUGCAGUGCCCUCUGCUACAACAGUUGCCCCUGGGAGCUCCAACUCAGAGGCCACGACUUCUUUAGGAGAUAGUGGAAAAACAAGAACUGAAACAAUCACAGGUGCUACUGAGGGUAAAACUCUGGCAGCUGGAAGUGCCCACACAGAGGCCACAACUUUCUCAGGAGGCAGCGGGACCACCCGAGCAAGACCACCGGGAGGCACUUCUGGCACAUCAGGAGGAUAUGUCCCUGGAAGGGAAACAGAGCCCACAACUUCCAUUAAAGAAACUGGAACUUCCAGAACUAUAUUCAAAACUGUAGGCAUCACUUCAGCCCCAGGGAGGCAAGCAGGCACCUCUGUGGUGGCGCCUAGCACAAUUGCCCCUGGAAGUUUCAGCACAGCAGCCACAACUUCUCCUGGAGCAAGUGAAAUGACUGGGGUUAGAACCACUUCAAAGACUACAACUUCCCUAGGUGGAAUUGGCACCACUAGAACUGAAAUAAAAUCAGGAGCCACCAAUGGAGCACCAGGAAGUAAGACAGGUGUCAUGAGAGAAUCUUCUAGAACGACCAUUCUAUCUGGAAGUUCUAACACAGAGGCCACAAAUUCCAUUGAAGAGACUGGUACUUCUGGAACUGGAUUCAAAACCGCAGGCAUCACUGCAGCACCAGGAAAGCAAGCAGGCACCUCUGGGGUGGCAGCUGGCACAACAGUUGCCCCUGGAAGUUUCAGCACAGCAGCUACAACUUCUCUUGGAGCAAAUGGAGUGAUUGGCACUGGCCCCACUGCAGAGACCACAACUUUCCUAGGAGGAAGUAGCACCACUGGAGCAGAAAUAAAAUCAGGAGCCACCACUGGAGCACCAGGAAGUAAGACAGGCACAGCUAAAGUGCUCUCUGGUACAACAGUUGCCCCUGGGAGCUCCAACUCAGAGGCUACAGCUUUCUCUGGAAUCACUGAAGCAGUAACAGUCCCAAGUAAAAAUGGAUCCAUGACCACUGCACUGGGGAGCCAACUCUCCAGCAGUCAAACAGUGAUUCCACGUUCCAGUGGCACCACCUCUCACACAACUGUUGCACUUGGAAGUUCUGAUACAGGAACCACCUCUGGUGCAUCAGAUGAUCAAGUCACUGGAAGUAAAACAGGCACUACUGGUGUGGCCUUGAGCACAACUGUUGCACCUGGAAGUUCCAGUACAGAAGCCACAACUUCCACAGGAGUCCAUAGAACCACUGUAGUGGGACGGAAGACAGAAGCUACCACUAGAGGAUCAGCAAAGCAAGGAACUGGAAGCACAAUAGAAGCUACGACGUCCUUUAGAGGCACUGGGACCACAGGAAGUGGAAUGAAUACAGGUACUACUGGAGUAGUCUCUGGCAACACCAUCUCACCUAGCAGUUUCAACACAGAAGCUACCAGUAGCACAUCUGAGAGGCCAAACCCUGGAAGUGAAAUAGGCACCACUGGCAUAGUCUCUGGCACAACAGUUGCACCUGGAAGUUCUAACACAGAAGCCACAACUUCUUUGGGCAAUGGUGGAACCACUGAAGCUGGAAGUAAAAUAGUUACCACUGGGAUAACUACUGGCACGACCAUUGUACCUGGGAGUUUCAACACAAAGGCUACGACUUCUACAGACGUUGGAGUUGCCACUGGAGUUGGAAUGGCAACUGGGAUCACCAACAUAAUUUCAGGGAGAAGCCAACCUACUGGAAGUGAAACAGGCUACACUGUAACAGGCUCUGGAACAACAGCCUUACCUGGAGGUUUCAGAACAGGCAAUACCCCAGGAUCAACGGGAGUCACCAGCAGCCAAGAAGGAACCACUGUGGUAUCAAGUGGAAUCACUGGAAUCCCAGAAACUUCCAUCUCAGGUCCUUCCAAGGAAGCAUCUGACAAAACCACUGCUCCUGGACCUCCUACCACAGUCACUGCUUCCACAGGAGUCAAAGAAACUUCUGAAACUGGAGUGCAAACAGGUUCCACCUUGGUUACAGCUGGAGUGCCAACAAGACCACAAGUAUCCCAGCCAGAAACCACUGUCAUGGCAACCAGAGAAGUAGAAACUGAAAAUAAAACAGAAUGUCUAGCCUCACUUCCACCAGCUCCAGUUUGUCACGGUCCACUGGGAGAAGAGAAAUCUCCUGGAGACAUAUGGACUGCCAAUUGCCACAGAUGUACCUGUACUGAUGCAAAGACUAUAGACUGUAAAGCUGAGGAGUGUCCUUCCCCACCCACAUGCAAAACCGGCGAGAAGCUUGUGAAGUUCCAAUCUAAUGACACCUGCUGUGAAAUCGGAUACUGUGAACCAAGAACAUGUUUAUUUAACAAUACUGACUAUGAGAUUGGUGCUUCAUUUGAUGACCCCAGCAACCCCUGUGUCUCCUACUCCUGCAAAGACACUGGCUUUGCUGCAAUAGUCCAGGACUGCCCAAAGCAGACCUGGUGUGCAGAAGUAAACAGAAUCUAUGAUUCAAAAAAAUGUUGCUAUACAUGUAAGAAUAAUUGCAGAUCUUCCCUUGUAAAUGUGACUGUUAUCUACAGUGGUUGCAAGAAAAGAGUUCAGAUGGCAAAAUGCACAGGGGAAUGUGAAAAGACUGCCAAGUACAAUUAUGAUAUCUUACUCUUGGAACAUUCAUGCCUUUGCUGCCGAGAAGAAAACUAUGAACUCAGAGACAUUGUACUUGACUGUCCUGAUGGCAGUACAAUCCCUUACCAAUACAGGCAUAUCACGACCUGCUCUUGUUUAGACAUAUGCCAACCAUAUACGACCUUCAUGUACAGUUAAUGCUGACAUCACCUUCCCAGUUUUAAUAGGCCUGGUAUUUAUGUUAUAAGUGAGGAAAAAUAAUCAUUUAAAUAGUGAGAAUAACUAAACAAUGUGAGAAUAACUCAAAACAA